UACUAGAGUAGCACUCGCAUAUCAAUAAGCGGAGGAAAAGAAACUAACAAGGAUUCCCCUAGUAACGGCGAGUGGAGCGGGAAGAGCUCAAAUUUGAAAUCUUAAAGGGUUUCCCUUUACGAAUUGUAGUUUAAAGAAGUGUUUUUCUGUUGAGGUUUUGGUAAAAGUUCUUUGGAAUAGGACAUCAUAGAGGGUGAGAAUCCCGUAUUUGACCUUUACUUUCAACUUUGUGAUACACUUUCAAAGAGUCGGAUUGUUUGGGAAUGCAGUCCAAAAUGGGUGGUAAAUUUCAUCUAAAGCUAAAUAUUGGCGAGAGACCGAUAGCGAACAAGUACCGUGAGGGAAAGAUGAAAAGAACUUUGAAAAGAGAGUUAAACAGUACGUGAAAUUGUCAAAAGGGAAGCGUUUGACACCAGUGUUGUUUUUCUGAAAAUCAAUUAAAGAACUGUUUAUGCUAAGCUGUUUAGACUUUAUCAGCUAUCUGUUUAGUUUUGAGCUUUUCUUUAAUGCACUUUUCAGUUAACAAGUCAACAUCAACUUCUUUUGCUGUAAAAAAGCUUGAGGAAGGUGGCUUGAGAUUCGUCUUAAGUGUUUAUAGCCUCUUGCCUAUGCAGUCGGAGAGAUUGAGGUCUGCAGCGUAGAUCCUUCGGGGCUAAAUGCAUUUGUGCUAAGUUAUAGCAUUUUAUAGACAACUUGUUGACUAUGAUUUGUCUUGUAGCUUUACUCGCUUAUGUUAUUUUACCUACGCUUAGGAUGUUGAAGACUCUACAGAGAUA
rnacentral:rRNA from 1 species